CAAUAGCGUAUAUUUAAGUUGUUGCAGUUAAAAAGCUCGUCGUUGGAUUUCGGGUGGGACGCAGCGGUCUCGCAUUGCGUUUGUACUGCUGCAGCCCUCCUUCUUGCCGGGGGCGGCCUCUCGGACUUCACUGUCUGGGGGUCAGAAUCGGCGAUGUUACUUUGAGUAAAUUAGAGUGUUCAAAGCAAGCUUACGCUCUGAAUAUAAUAGCAUGGGAUAACACGACAGGACUCUGGCCUAUCGUGUUGGUCUAUAGGACCAGAGUAAUGAUUAAGAGGGACAGUCGGGGGCAUUCGUAUUCCGUUGUCAGAGGUGAAAUUCUUGGAUUUACGGAAGACGAACAUCUGCGAAAGCAUUUGCCAAGGAUGUUUUCAUUGA
rnacentral:rRNA from 1 species